rnacentral:rRNA from 1 species
GACGUAGGGGGCCAGCGUUGCUCGGAAUUACUGGGUGUAAAGGGUUCGUAGGCGGUGUGGCAAGUCGGGAGUGAAAUCUCUGGGCUCAACCCAGAGUCUGCUUCCGAAACUGCUGUGCUUGAGUGUGGGAGAGGCGCGUGGAAUUGCAGGUGUAGCGGUGAAAUGCGUAGAUAUCUGCAGGAACACCCGUGGCGAAAGCGGCGCGCUGGACCACUACUGACGCUGAGGAACGAAAGCCAGGGGAGCGAACGGG